UGAGACCCAGCGCGUCACCCACCUGGGCUCCUUCACCCUGGACGGGGACAGCCUCUACGUCAGUGGUUACACCUAUGGAGCCGUGGCCCCGACUACCACCACUUUGGGGCACAACCUGAAGACCCUCACAGUCAAUGUCACCAUCUCCACCCUCUGGUAUUCAUCACACAUGAGCAACGGCUCAGCCACAUUCAACUCCACUGAGA